UUCAUUCACCAAAGUCACACAAUAACAAAGAAACUAACCGACGGAGGCAGCGGUAGACAGGCAACUCCCGUGUUCUGUAAGGUGAAAAAGAUGUUUUUGU